ACGUAGGAGACAAACGUUAUCCGGAGUUACUGGGCGUAAAGGGCGUGCAGGUGGUCUGUUAAGUCUGGCGUGAAAGCUCCUGGCUAAACCGGGAGAGGUCGUUGGAUACUGGCGGACUAGAGGACGGUAGAGGCGUGUGGAAUUCCGGGUGUAGUGGUGAAAUGCGUAGAGAUCCGGAGGAACACCAGUGGCGAAGGCGACACGCUGGGCCGUACCUGACACUGAUACGCGACAGCAUGGGGAGCGAACGGG
rnacentral:rRNA from 1 species